rnacentral:rRNA from 1 species
UACGAGGGGUCCAAGCGUUGUUCGGAAUCACUGGGCGUAAAGCGGGUGUAGGUGGCUAGGCAAGUUGGAUGUGAAAGCCCCGGGCUCAACCCGGGAAGUGCAUCCAAAACUACUUAGCUUGAGUAAGGGAGAGGAUGGCAGAAUUCUUGGUGUAGUGGUGAAAUACGUAGAUAUCAAGAGGAACACCGGUGGCGAAGGCGGCCAUCUGGCCCAUUACUGACACUCAGACCCGAAAGCGUGGGUAGCAAACAGG